GGGCACGCAUGAGUUGAGAAGUAGGAUCCAUCCAUUAUAUAAAAAUAAACAAUAAGCAACUUUAGAAUCGCAAUGCUGUAUUUCCUUCUGGGAUUCAAAUGACUACACAAACCACUUGAGCUUCAUUUUUAUGGUUUAUGAAGCUCAAGGGAAUUAUAUACUCGUAAUUUAUAGUUGCUGGUUCCACAUAGUGUUUAUGGCUCCGUAUGCUAUGUAUGAUGAUAUCGUGUGCAUGCCUGUACAUAGGAUUUAAUUAAUGACCUAGAGAUUAUCCUUGGCCUGACUUAUUGAUGUCUGUGUGUUGGAAAAUGUGUGCUUCCACGCUGAAAAAUAAGAGCAGUUCAGGGCCAAGAGUUUGGAGUGAAAUUUCAUGCCGCUUGCAGAUUCAGUCUUUGGAAUUCUGCAUGUAUUAUGCACCUUUCCAGCUCAUCCUCUAAGCUUUUGCAGUAAGUGAAGCAAUUAAAAGUUAAAUUAGAUUCUGAGUCCCUCUGAAUCAAUUUCUUUCCUAUAUGUUUUGGAGAGUGCGAAGGACAUAAAAGUUACAAUUGAUAUUUUGGGGUUAUUCUUUCUUUGAGAAGCAGUGAGUCUUCUCCAUUUCCUGGAGUUGGGAGGGAGUCCUGCAGUGGACCCGUGCAAGCAUGUCUUUUGGGGUUCCACAUGUGAAGAGCAGAGGGAAAGUCAGGAAUGCAGGUUGCAAUUUUAUUAACUUUUUUCUUUAGAGUAGCUCUUGCUAAAACUAGAUUUUAGAGUGUUAAAGUGACUUAAUUGGAUUGACAUCAUCAGCGGUUUUCAAACUUUUAAAAAUCCGUAGAUCUCUUUUUUAAAGAAGGAGCUGUGUAGAAUCUGACAGAUGAAACAGGUACAAGAGUAGGUGCCCUAGUCCCUCUGGGUAGUUGAGAAGUGGUGUGGCCCAGUGGUUAAAGUAUGAACUGUGGUGAUAGACUGCUUGGGCUCAGGUCCCAAGUUUUCCCACUAACUGAGAUGGGCAAGUUACCUAGCCUCCUUGUACCUCAGUUUCUCCACCUAUAAAAUGGGGAUGAUACGAAUAAAAGCUGUCUCAUGGAGUUGUUGUGAGGAUUAAAGAAGGGAGUUGCUAUGAGUUAAGUGCUCACUACUGUACUUGCAUGUGAUACCUCCUAUCAGCUGCUGCUCGUAUUAUUGAACCUACCCAACAGCUCAGUGAAGCAGCUUGAACGCCUCUGAGUUAUUCAGAUGUUUACUGUAUACCUACUAUGUGCCAGGCACAGGUCUAAGAGCUGGGGAGAUGGUGGUGAAAAAAACAAAGUCUGCUUUUCUGGCUCUUAGAUUCUGUUGUUCUAGCCCAUGGGUUGGCAAACGUUUUCUGUAAGAGGCCAGUCAGUCAGUGUUUUGGGCUCUGCAGCCCAUCCUGUCUCUGUCAUCACUGCUUAACCUUGCCAUUGUAGCACCAAAUAGAUAUAGAUAUAGAUAGGGGUUCCUGGGUGGCUCAGUCGGUUAAGCGUCUGCCUUCAGCUCGGUCAUGAUCCCAGGAUCCUGGGAUCGAGUCCCACAUGGGGCUCCUUGCUCAGCGGAGAGCCUGCUUCUCCCUCUGCCUGCCGCUAUCCCUGCUUGUGCUCUCUGUCUCUCUCUCUCUCACAAAUAAAUAAAAUCUUUAAAAAAAAAAGAUACAGAUAUAGAUAAUACGUAAAUGAAUGGGCAUGGUUGUGUUCUAAUAAAACUUUAUUUACAAAAACAGGAAGUGGGCUGUAUUUGGCGUGAGGGCAGAGGUUUGCUUCCCCCUGUUCUAACCUAAUCUCUCCUUUUAUGAACUAGACAGUUGAGGGCCAGGUCACAUAAUAGUGGCAAAAUCAAAACCAGAACAUUGUUUCAGACAUCCUAUGCAAUACUUUUUCCUUUUCACCGUGCUCUCUGGCAUACUGGCUUUGUGAGGACCCAUUCUUUUCCCUUCCUGUCUUUUAUCAACUGCACAGUGAGUUGGGUAACAGUGGGGUGACUGAGAGUCUCACCAGUAGAUCCCGUGAUUUGUUUGCUUUUGUAUCUGUCUUCAGAAUGGUAUAUUUGCUCAUUCAACAAAUAUUUAUCAGGUGCCUACUACGUACUAGGCACUGUUGUAAGACACAGUGGCUGCUGGUUAGCAAAGCAGACAAAGAUCCCUGCUCUCUUGGAGCUUACCUUCUAGAGGGGAGGAGAGAGGAAACAACACACAAAAUAAAUGAAUUAUCAGAUGAGCAGGAGGGUUGAAGGUAUAGGAACAGGUCGCGGGGGUUCCGUAGGGUGGUCAGAGCAGGCCUCACCAAGAAGGGCAAAUUUGAGCAAAGCCUUGAAGGGGACGAGAACGUUGGCCCAGGGAAACCAGAGCAGUAGCCUUUUGGGCAGAGGGAACUGCUGGAGCAGAGAUGGGGGGCCAUCUGUCAAAAGUGUUGAAAGGAUGGCAAGUCGGCCACUGUGGCUGGAGAGGAGUGUAUGGGGGGCGGGUAACAGGAGACAAGGUGGGGAUGGCUGGGGGUGCUUGUGUGCGAUGGACAGCCAUGCAGCAUUCUGAACAGAGGCAUGCAUUGCUCCAAAAGGACAGGCUCGCUCCCGUCGGCUCUUGGGGAGGGGAGAUAGAAGCAGAGGUCGUUGCCUUGAUCCAGACAAGAGGUGAUGUUGACUCAGGCCACAGUAAUAGUGAUGGAUUGAGGAAGUGAGAGGAGGUCAGAUCCUGAAUACAUAUUUUGAAGGUAGCAUCAAUAGGCAUUUGUGAUAGAUUGAAAGUGGCCUGUGAAGAAUGAGAGGAGUUAGGGACGACCCCCCCUAUAGUAUUUAUAGGAUUCCUGGGCCAAUCACACAGUGCAAGAACUUUCUUUUGUAGAUGAGAGAACUGAGGUACAAAGAGGAGUGACUUGUCCAGGUCCCAGCAACAAGCAAGUGGUGGCCCUCCAUCUGGGGGGCACGGCUCUAUCCCUCUUUUCUGUUCUCCAUCAUUUAUCUUCUUGGGUUAAUCUUCCUGCUUCCCUGACCAUAGAGCGAGGUGCCCCUCUACUCUUUGUGAUGUAUCCUGUUUUUACCUACCCCGCCAUGAGACUUUUCUCUCUGUUUUCUAAUGUCCUGCUUACUGUCUGUCUCUACUUGGCUCUUUGAGGGUUCCUAGCAUAGUGUUUCACACAUAGGAGGUGCUUUAUUAAUGCUGUAUGAAGAUAAAACGUUUUUCAAAUGGUCUUCUCCUAAUUUACAGCCAUUCUAAAAUCUUGUUCUUUUAUAGUUUUCUUUCUUUCAUUGACUUUCUCUUAUGUGUUUUCUUUAUUUUUUUCCUUAUAGAACCUCUAUUUGGAUUUGCUUUAUGUUUUCUAUUUUAAGAGUUUCCCUAGAGCUUGUCACUUUGAAGGGAAAAGUCCUUUGAUUUUCAUUUUAAAUUACAUCCCUUAAACAGUAACACAUCAGGUAGUAAGGCAUUUGAUAUUUUAAAUCUCUCUUUUUACUUUCUUUGGUUCCUCAACAGGUCUCUCGGGGGGGAAUACAAGUUCAGAGUGUCUUGAAAUCCUGCCAGUAAUGUGGUACAGUUGUCGCGGUGUGUAUAAUACUUGAAUGCGUGAAGUGCAGCUGGAUAAUGCAGGGAUUCCCCAUGCCCAGAGUGUAAUGCAUCUGCCUCAACUCGGUCCUCUCUUCUGCCAUUAUUCUUAGUCAAGCAUGUGCUUAUAAAAAACACCAGGUGUCAACAAUGUCGGCAACCAUGCCCUGACUAAAUCUUCUGCGGCUGUAGGUGCAUCUGCUGGAAGCAUCUUCCAGAACUGUUAGUUGCUGAAAUUGCAAAUUCACAUAACCCUUUGCUUUUAACCAAAUUAUUGCUCCAAGUCCUGCAAGAUAUAAACAAGGAAAAGAAAAAAAAAAUCAGCCAGUCAUCUGAGGUAGACGUUAUUCUUCCCAUUUUGCUGUUGAAGAAGUUGAGCACGAGACAAGUGAUUUGACCAGAGAUGAGGAGAAGGGAAGUCGGAGAGAUUCGAAGUGUGGGCAAGACUUGACCCAGCAUCACUGGCUUUGGAGACGAGGGAGGUCACGGCCAGGGAAUAUGGGCAGCCUUGAGACGCUGAGGCAAGGAAACAGGGACCUGAGCUCUGCCAACAACCGGAAUGAGCCUGGAAAUGUGUUCUCCCCUUGCGCCUCCAGAGAGGAAUGCAGCCCUGCUAACACCUUCAUCCUGCCACGUGCAACACUUCGCAAAGAACCUGCUGAGCCCUGCUGUGCCUGGACUCCCGGCUCAUGGAAAUCAUGAGGACUGAGUUAUGUGGGAAACGCAGCCUGCAACAAUGUGAUGGCAUUUUGCAGAUGGCAUAUUCUGAGGGGCUGAUCUGCAGAAAAGGCCAAGUGAAAAGUCACCCAAUAAUGAGAAAGGAGAAAGAUGGCAUGUGAAAUGCGUGACUCCGUAGUGAUGCUAGGACUCUGAGCAGGCUGGAACAGCACAAUCACCAGGAAAAAUAACAAAUACCAAUCAGAGAAUGUUAUUAUAGGCACUCCCGCCAACACGAAUGACUCUCAAUAACAUUGGAAUCAACACGUGGCGCCAUGAGCAAUUGGAGUUGAAACUUCUAUUGAUACGGUAUUCCCCUCAUUGUGCUAGCCAUUGGCAGUAAAUGGGCAGGUGUCGGAGGUAAUGGUGUGACUAAAGUUUUGAGGGGAGAGUGGGAUGAUGUUUUGCCAGGCACUUUCCCUCCUUCAGUCAGACAAGUGUCCACUGAGGGAGGUGGGGGCUUUGGGACAUUGAUUGGAUGAGGUUGGGCAAUUUGGGAUUUGGUGGAGUAGACUACUGAUGGCAGAUCAGGGCUGGCCUGGAGUCCUGGCAGGAAUGGCCCCACUGGAGGCUGUUUGCAGGGAAGCACCAUGCCUAUGGGAGAGCAUACAUCACAGGCCCCUGGCCUGACAGACGGUAGGGCAAGAGGGAUCCCAACAGAGGAGGAGAAUAUGUUACUAAGUGGAGGGAGGAGAGGGAUAGGGCAACUUCCAGGAGAUCCUGCCAAUAAACGGCGGUGGUUCAGGUCCCAGAAGGAAGAAAAGAGGCUCUUGUGAGAACAAGGCAAGAAGUACAUCCCAGGCAAAGGCCAGAGUGGUGGGACACAAGGCUUCCCACAUCAGAAAUUUCCCACUUACACUGCAGUGUACCCACCUCCACUGUCUCAAAGUCACAGAGAAAGAAAUGGGUUUGAAACUGUAGGAAGCUAAUUAAUCAUGAACUGUGAUAGCACAGGGAAUCAGUGAUGUAAAUUGUGAAACCUAAGUCCUGCUUCUGUUAUUUUUCACCCUGCAGAAAUGGAAAUAUGGGAGAAUUUUUACCCAGCUAAAAUUUAAGAAGAAGACUGGGGGAGGGGGUAUUGCAUGGAGUGUCAUGCCUUUACUGCAUCAGGCGAGGGACGUGGGUUAUUAGAACCACAGCUCAGGAACAGGUCUGGGAGACACAGUUAAACAAGUGGGCCUUCAGUGGAGGGGAAGGAGAGGCUGGGGUGGGUGUUGCAGGCGCCGCUGAAAUAAUAGGUCACUCUGCCAGACUGUUGCUGAGACUAUAAAGAUUUUCUCAUAAAAUGAGGUGUUCUUAGCAUUUUUUCUUUUCUGUUGUUUCUUUCCUUCCCUCGCUCCCUUCCCUUUUUUUUUUUUUUUUAAGAUUUUAUUUAUUUAUUUGACAGAGAGAGACACAGCGAGAGAGGGAACACAGGCAGGGGGAGUGGGAGAGGGAGAAGCAGGCUUCCCGCUGAGCAGGGAGCCCAAUGCGGCUCGAUCCCAGGACCCUGGGAUCAUGACCUGAGCCAGCCAAAGGCAGACACUUAACGACUGAACCACCCAGGCGCCCCUCCCUUUUCUUUUUUAACAGAUGAGGAAACUGUUAUGGAGAAGCAAAUGAACUUGCCUAAAUUAGUGUCAGGUAGAGAGCUGAUCUCUCAUCUGUUAAUGUGAGUUCAGAGCCUGGUCUCCUAAGCACCGUGUCACACAGAGUCUCAGUCACCUGCUCCGGGAUGUAAAGUCUGAGUCAGCCCUGCUCAGAGGCUGCCCUGAGCCAAACCAUUACCUUUCUGAUUCUGGAGCUAGAGAGAGUCCUUUUAUCGAUUCACCCUGAGAUCAACUUACUGUUUGGGGAGUUCAGCCACAACACGGUGUACGCAGCAUGAACUUGCAGUAGGCUCCUGAAGGUUCCUUUUAUUUUGUACCUCAAUGUAGAUCAUUACAUUGUAGAUCUUAUUAAAGUCAUCUUUUUAUAUUUAGCCUCUUGCUCUGGCCUGUCAAGAUCUUUUUAAAUCCUUACUAACAGCAGAUUCUUCUUUUUUUCCCCUUCUUUUUUAAAUCCAAUACAACAUGCAAUGAAAACCACAACUCUCUUAAAAGCCCUCCUGUUUCCGAAAGCUCUGACACAUUCAGCAAAGAUCUAUUCCUCAGUGUCUGUCUGCGCUAUGUUUAUUUUCUGCUUUGCCGAUUCAUGGAGUCUAACUGUACCCAAAUGUGCCUUUAGACGGCAGACUCUUCAGGGCAAGGGCUCUGCUCUUUGUUUUGGCACAUGGUACCUAUUACAGAGCUCAGUAUGCACCUGGGGCUCCAGAUAAAUAAUAACAAUCCAGGAGUAUUUCUCACUUGGAGAGCUGCACGGGCCUUUCCGGGCAGUGUGUUAGCUUUCUUUAAAGAAUAUCCGAGUGACCGAUUUUACCUUGACAUUGGGUGCCCAUCUCUCCGCACCUGUCCCACCUGCUGCCUGGCUCGUAUCUGCUGCUUUAUUGUUUGCUGUUUCCGCACCACCCUUAGGAGCCAUUCCUGAGAAGUAGCACUUUGGCUUGCAGAUCAUGCCCGCAUUUAUGAAUGUUUUGGUUCUGACUCCAGCCAGGCAGCAUUCUUCCCCCUUUCCCUCCGCACCCUGUUAGUGCUGAAGUGUGAAUCCCGGAUGCUUUCCAAUGGACAGAAGCCAGAACAGGAGGAGGUAAAGAGGUGGGAGGGGACAGUUAUUUGAUUUUUGGCAGUAAAAACAACUAGCCGAAGCUGGAGUUUCACAGAUUUUAACAAAAUAGUCUUUGAUUUUGGUUUCUUUCUCUCCCUUUCUCAUGAGGAGCUGGAAAUGGGGGGAGGGGGAAGAUUACAGCUUUUUUGUUGUUGUUAGCUUUGAAAAGAAUAGUUUAAAUAUGGUUAAUAUACAUGUUAUCAUUUUCAAAAUAUAGAACAAAAGAAAUCCUGGUUGGCUCCAGUGGAUCUGGAAGCAAAGUCGCCUCCUUUGGCUGCAGCCAGAUUAGAUCACUGUAAUUCUCUCAAGUGGGACUUUUGCUAACAAUUCAGGUGGAUCUUUUGGAGGGACCAGGAUUCAGCUGAGAGGAAGGUGUCUUACAGCCAUGAAUCAACCACUUGUUCUCAGAUUUAGAAUAAAAAAAAUUAACUUUUAAUCGUCGCACUUUUAAGUUGCUAUGGCAUAAGGAGGGCUUGCUUUUUAACAGACCGACCCCUCAACCCUUGAAUUACCUGGCUCCGUCUCAUACCUUCGGGCUCUUCUUGGCAAACCAAACUCCAUCAUUAGAUAGUGCCUAUAUUCUCUGUCAGAUGGUCCUUUUGAACAUCAUGCUUACAUCUCAUUCACUCACCUCCAGAGUAGUCAGGUCAAAACUUGUCUGUCUAGGAAACUACUGUUAUCCUGUCGUGUGUGAUACAUGUAAUUGAUAUUAACUGUAUGGUCAUAGCAUUGUUGUUCCAAAGAGUAGCUUUAUUUCUUGACUUUAUUUAUUUAUUUACUUACUUAUUUUUACUAUGAAUGUUUUAUUUAAUCAUUUUUAUUUACAGCUGAAGCUCUGGAAGCUCUAAGUUAACAUCUUUGCCCACGAGCUUCUUCUUGACUGACUUUAAUUUCUGCCUUUGAGUCUUCAGAUUUUUUUUUUUUCUUUUCAGAUUAAAGCUAUCUGGUGCACUAGGUUCUUGGUCAAGAUCUAUAAAAUGGACAUAGUCUAGUUCAGCAUUCAACUGUAUCAAGACUGGUUUCCCCAUGCAAAGUUUCUUCCUGUUUCUCUUCUGCUCUAACUUCUAAGUUACACCGAGUUGAGGGGUAGUUGCUCUUGUGAUGUUGAAGGCAGAGAGAAGUCACAUCCAUUUUCUGCUCUGUUGAUGUGCCUGUCGUCUAUCCUCCUGCUAUGUCUAACACCUUGAGGAAUCACACAGAGAAGCAACUGUCCCCUUUUCACCCUCCGGGUGGCUGCAUUUGCCUCCUCUUCCUUCCCCCGCUAGGGGUCCCUUCGCAGACAGGCUCUUAGAACCACUCAUUGGCUUGUCUUCACUUUGGGCCCAUGAGAUACCUGUCGUUUCUCCAUGCCUGGUUUCUGGCUGAUGAUGGUGGUGGGCCACUUCUCAAGUCUGUGUGCAUAUGCUACCACACUCUUGUUUCCUUUGAGUUUCACUGGGGCUGGAUAGGUUUGCAUAGACUGCCACUCUCCCUAGAAAAAGUAUUAGCAGCUCUCUCUCUCUCUCAUCCCCCCCCGCCCCGAUAUCCUAAACAUUACAGGAGAAACUCUGGUACCCUUCCAGCCCCAAGUUUGGCCAGAGCUGAAAAAGAGUAAAAAAUUUCCCAUUGCUCAUUUUUUCUAUCUUUUAAUCUUAGUUGGAUUCCUCCAUCUGUCCUCUCCUCAUAUAUUCAAACCCUUUUGGAGUGGCAGUAGGCGGUGGUGUUGGGCCUGGGGAGAUAGGGUGGGGACCAGCUCCCCUGCUUUGGAUAUAUGUACUGGUAUCUUCUUUCUUACACCUGAGGUCAUUUAUCUCAAGGUGAGGGCUUGGGCAUAUCUUUUUACUGCUUCCUACAUGUAAUAUGUCAACUCUGUUUAUUUUCAGAUUUAGAAUUAAAAAAAACCCAACUUUUCACUUCCUCCCUUGGGUUGAUGUUGCCCUGAUGACGGGAACAACUCCUUGCCCAUGACACAUGGUAACUCAGUGUCUCUAGGUCUGGAUGCAGAUGUUGCCUGAAUAUUUUAUAUUUCUUCCUGCUUUAUAUGUGUAUAAAUGCGUGUGUGUAUGUUUGUGUGUGCAUUUUGGCAACUAACAUAACCAAAGUAUUCACACAAAUAACAAAUUUCUUAAGUAAAAAAAAAAAUUGUACUAUUAAUGAUGCCAAACAUACUACUUAAGAAUAUCAACUAUGAUGUCACCUCAAGAACCAUACAUAAGAAAGGAUCAACAUAACAUUUUUGUUCCUAGAAGAAAAUAUGCAUGACUAUAUCAAAGCAGAACUAUCAUAAUUAGUUGUAUGUGAAUAUUUGAUUACAUUUUGCUGUUUUAGAGAAUCUGGAAGCAAGACAGCAAUCUUCCUGUAAUACUGGGCUGAAUGGUGCUGGAGCUGGGAUGGGCAUGUGUGGGGAUGCUGGGAUGGAGGUCUGGUGGGCAGGAGCAGUCGAUGCGCAGAGAGGAUUUCAUCCUUACUGUACAUGGUUUCACCAUGUAGCCUUCGUUUAGUUUGAUCAUUUGAAAUGAAGUCAUAUUAAUCAUAUGCUUUCUUUGGGAGGCACUUAAGGAAGUUUAAUUGCUCAAGUUAUUAAAAUCCAGAGAGGAUAAACUAGAAGGAGAAAUAUAUGGUAACAUGAUAUCAAUCCAGUUACUAGAAUCUAGUCUUUGAACUGAGGGAGCAGCUCUGCCAGCCAGGACCAGAGCUGGCAUGAAGGGUGUUUGGGCACAAAACAUACUCUAGGAAAUGUGUGACAUCAUCCCAAAGACACAGAUCAUAGACUGCAACUGAAUAGGGACAAUGUCUUCUAAACUCACAUACAUCUGAGCUAUGACACCACCUUAUACAUUUCUUUGUAUGUUACAACCUUGGUAGUGUUGAGUUUCAAAGUUGUAUUGUUACUAUAAACUGGAAAGUAUUAAAUUUUACUCUAGGAAUAUGAUGUGGAACUCCAAUCAGUAGACCCAUCUUAAGAAAAAUAAAGAGUUAAAGAAAUAGUUUAAACUCUUGGCUGUAUAGCAAAAUAUACGAUAUUAAAUUUGUGAUUAUGUGCUUUAAAUUAAAACAAAU